AUCCAAAAUUUUAUUCCAAUUCGAGCAUCAAUAAAACAGAUAUAUUCGAUACUAAACUGAUAUAAGUUUCAGGAAUAAUUGUCUAUAUAUUUGUCAUACGUUUGAAAAUAUUUAAUUUACCCUCAUUUUUUUUUCUUUCGAAAAUAUCUCUCAUAUGCUCCACUGCUCCAUCGUUAUUGUAAAAUACCCUCGCAGUUAUCUCCUGUUAAGUUAAUUUGGGUUAAACGUGAGUUAAACAUCUACUACAGUUAAAAAAAAUUAAAAUACCAAUUUUGUCCUUAACUUAAGGGCAAAUAAGAAAUGUUGGUGACGGUAGAGGAGUAUAUUGGAAGAGACCAAAAGUCAAAAUACUUUUUAUGCCCCUGACUUUAAGGGUAAAUAAGAAAAUCAGUGAUGGUGGAAGGGUACAUUUGAAACGGCAAAAUAGUAAUUUUACAGAGCUAAUAGAGUUAAUUAACAGAUUUUAACUCUAGUAGUAUAUUAAAAAUAAGUUGGAACGUAAAGAGAGUAUUUUCAAUAUGAGCCUUCUAAGAGGGGUAAAUCGGAAAAUCGAAAACUUUUCAGAAGUAUAUAAGCAAUUGCCCCUAAUUUUUAAUAUAAAUAUUAAAAAUAAAAAUUUAAUGGAUUUACAUUAAUGUAUGAAUUUUGACUCAAUUCGAAUUGGAUCGGACAUGAAUUGAUUUUACAUUAUACAAUAUAUAUAUAUAUAUAUAAUUUUUAUAUUAUAUUUAAAUUUAUAUUUUAAAAUUUUAAAUUUAAUAUAAUAUAUUUUAAAAUAUUAUAAAUAGAAAUAAAUUUUUCGGAGUAGGAUUCAAAUUUCGGAUUUGAGCCGGUUCGAAUUCGAGUUUAUGAAAAU
rnacentral:lncRNA from 1 species